UACGUAGGGGGCAAGCGUUGUCCGGAAUUAUUGGGCGUAAAGGGCUCGUAGGCGGUCUGUUGCGUCGGGAGUGAAAACUUACAGCUUAACUGUGAGCGUGCUUUCGAUACGGGCAGACUUGAGGCAUUCAGGGGAGAACGGAAUUCCUGGUGUAGCGGUGAAAUGCGCAGAUAUCAGGAGGAACACCGGUGGCGAAGGCGGUUCUCUGGACAGUUCCUGACGCUGAGGCACGAAGGUCAGGGAGCAAACGGG
rnacentral:rRNA from 1 species